CCUACGGGUGGCAGCAGUGAGGAAUAUUGGUCAAUGGUCGGGAGACUGAACCAGCCAAGCCGCGUGAGGGAUGAAGGUACAGAGUAUCGUAAACCUCUUUUGUCAGGGAACAAAGGCGGGGACGCGUCCCCGGAUGAGUGUACCUGAAGAAAAAGCAUCGGGUAACUCCGUGCCAGCAGCCGCGGUAAUACGGAGGAUGCGAGCGUUAGCCGGUUUUAUUGGGUUUAAAGGGUGUGCAGGCGGUCUGUUAAGUCAGCGGUAAAAGCCCGGGGCUCAACCCCGGCCCGCCGGUGAAACUGGCAGUCUCGAGUUGGAGAGAAGUAUGCGGAAUGCGCGGUGUAGCGGUGAAAUGCAUAGAUAUCGCGCAGAACUCCGAUUGCGAAGGCAGCAUGCCGGCUCCACACUGACGCUGAGGCACGAAAGCGUGGGUAUCGAACAGGAUUAGAUACCCGAGUAGUC
rnacentral:rRNA from 1 species